UAUUUGCACACCAAGAAUACCUACCUAGCUGUCAUUUUUCAGAAUUCCAGAGGACUGAAAAGAAACAUGACAACGAUCUCCACCACUCCUGGUUUCCUGAUGUUGCCUCCUGGUUCUUGCGCUUCCCCCUUGAAUAUGUCCUCAAGUAUGACAAGGGCAUCACAACACAAGGGCAUGAAAAAGUUAUCACUGGAUCAAUAAAGAGUAAUCUCAUCCGAAUGCUACCUUUGUUCGCCUCUUUUGCUUCUCUGAGGAAAACCUACAUUUCAUGUCCAUGGGUCUCACUCUGAAGCAAGACUGACUAGCACCCACCAUAGCCCAGGAUUCUCACCACUAGCACGCAGAGCAGUGUCCUCGAUUCUCCAUUAUAUUAUCAGUAGAAGAAGACUACACACUUGAUAAAAUGGGAAAAAUCGAACACAGGAAUUACAAAUUCUAAGAGGUGGUAUUUGCAUAGUCACUUACCCUUAGAAUAGCUUAAGCAACAACUUGAACAGUGAGUAUGUGCUUCUGUUAUUUGUCCCUUCACCAGUUUCUCUGUGAUAAAGUCCUAACUCUGGGUCACUACACUUUUAAAAAGUUCAACAUAAUUUACUGCUAGUUCAAAGAUGUAAGGAGAAAGCUUCACCAGAGGUGAAGUAGGGCUCUGUCUACCUCUCCACAUACUUCCCUUUCAAUUUGUCUGCCUUAUCAAGUUAAAUGAAUAAAUAAAUACCCUCCAGGUCAGUUUUCUCCUUUGUCCUCUAGCAAA